ensembl:lncRNA
GGAAAAUGUACAAGUUCUAACAAGUUUUGCAAUCCUUGCAAAGUAGCUUGGGCCUUGCAAAACCAUUGGUUAUAGAGAUGAGCAAAGCCCUAAUACUGUGAAGUUCCUACAGGGAAACGUGGCCAGAGGAUUAGGCGCUAAUCUCUGACCUGAGAAGAUGUGAUGAAUGUCUACACUGUCGAUGGUACUGCAGCAGAGAUAGCUGAGCUCGUUAUGACUAGUUUUUGGCGGAAUAACCUAGUUCUGCACUUAGGGGUAUGGGAAGCUAAUUUCCAUUCCACCAGUGGAGUAAAUUAACCCAUGCAGAGAUCAACGCUAGAGAGUCAAGAAAGCAGAAAAUGGUAGCCUACACUGUAGCUGUACACCCUGUUUCCUCAUGUCCAAAUUUCUUAGAUGGCCACAAUCAAAUUGUUUGUCCUCUUGGCAUGUACACUUAUAAGGAAAAACAAAGUAUCGUGCCUAUUUUGCGUGCUUACCCUGAAGAGCAGUGCAUGUUGAUCUACAAAAUGCUCAGAUAUGGAAGGAUGUUACAUAGGUUGCUUAGAAAGAUGAAGGGAUUGAUUUUGUUAUUCCUUCAUCUUCCUCACAGCUAUAAACAACAGCUCUUUCUGCCCGGGAAUGGACUCAUAAGGCCCAGUUGGGAGAAUGACAGCUCUGCCCUGCUGGGAGCUGAGUGCCUGGCUGGACAGAAAGUGGAGGACGAGUGCUUCCUGUCUUCCCCAGAUCAUCUCCUUAAGCGCUCCAAAAAUAGAGAAUACAAAUGCACUACAAAGUAAAAAAAGAAAUCACUUGUAAAAGUGGCUUCCAUCUUGGUAGAAUGUUUACCAGCAACAGCAGAAAAUUCAUAAUUAUGUCAUUAACUAUUCUGCCUGUCAAGUGGGCCUGGUUUCAGCUAAUACUAGCCAUGGAAAGCUCUAAUAUGUAAAUGAACUGACGGAAAGGCGUUCAGAAUUUAACACUAGGUGCUGAUUUCAAUACUGAUAAAUUGCUUUGAUCCAUUGACUCAUGCCUUGUUGUCCUUCCAAAUGAAUGCAAGUACCUUCUGGAAGUGAGUCAACCCUGCAGAUGGGGGCCAGCCUGGCCGAGCUCCUGUCCGUGCAGUAUGUAGAGACAUGUGCUUGGCUCCUGUGCCCCAGUGCUCUGCAGCUGACGUAUUUAGCCUCGUCACUGUGAGGUAGGGAAAUGCUCUUGGCUCUAUUUUGUAGCAACAGAGUUGAGGCUUACACAGUCUGAAAUUUUCAAAUGUGUUUAAAAAGUGAAAAGUUUAAAUCAGUGGGAGCUGAGAUACCCAAACCCAGCGUAGACACCCUGCUUUUGUUGAUUUCUGGGGGAAUUAGGUGAUUUGCCCAAGUUCGUGGAAGAAAAUGGGGACAGUGAACAGAGUUAAUCCCAGAUGUGUGUCCUGGGCAGCAACGCUUUUUGCUUUUGAUGAACUUGAGUUUUCUGUUAUCAUUAGUUAUUUUAGAAGUUCUAGCCUUAAGUUCUAAUGGGAAUCUAUUUAUACUAUUGAGUUUAUGCUUGCAGCACAAGAAUUUAGUGCAUUUGCAAUGAGUUCAAUGUAGAAGUUAGUAUUUCUGAAGUUCCUGAUAAAGGAAAAAGAACGUUGAACAAAGUGUAAAAGCCUCUAAUAUUCACCUCACAUAUGAAAAUCGGCUCCUCCUCAGAACUCAGCUGCUCUUUCACUUGGGCUCUUAUGGGUGAGUGGGAACAAGACCAAGGGUGAUUGUUUGCACAGCAAAACCAGGGUUAUUUUUAGCAAGUAAGGAUCCACUUCUG